GAUAGCUUUCUAACGGAUAUUACACAAUAUCUGUAAAUCGAAAUGAAUAACCAGGGAUAUUACACAAUAUCUGUACAUCAAAUUGAAUAACUGAAAACCAACUUUCUAACGGAUAUUACACAAUAUCUGUAAAUCGAAUUGAAUAACCAGGGAUAUUACACAAUAUCUGUACAUCGAAUUGAAUAACUGAGAACCAAAUAGCUUUCUCAGGGAUAUUAGAUAAUGUUAUUUCCCUGAUCUCGGGCCUGCCCGUACCUACAACAACAAAUUGACUAUUGGAUGAAAUCUCAAUCAAUUCCACAUAUCUCCUAUGAAAUAUCCAAGGGUACUCAAGCCGAAUAAUUUAAACAACAUUAAUUAGAACACAACGCCCCCACGCUUAUAAUAAAUAUAUAUCGUGAUUAUAACAAAUUAUACUGUUGUUGCGUUUUCUGAUUAAUAUAUUACUAUUCGUACAUAAUAUUAUUCAC